UUCGUUCCUGAAAUUGACUGCCUAGGAUAAUUUGUUUCUGUUUCUGUUUGGUAUCCUACUCCUGAAAUACGUUAGAAGCGAUUUAUUAUCUUCGAAUUUGAGUGCUUUUUGUUGGCAAUGCUGCCAAUAAAUGAAUUCCUGCAGUUGUUAGUGAAUUAGGGAAAAGAAAUAAUGAUUUUUAGGAAACAAGGUAGUAACACUGUUGGUGCUGAUGCUUGUUAACGCAACAAGACACAAUAAGGGUAACAAGUUAUCUAGUGGUUCAGUGCUUAGAUAAUACAAUUAAUUUGAAGCAUCUGGUGAUGGUUGAUUUGCAGUCUGCAGCUGUAGCAUGUAUGGCAUUCUUUGUUUCCUUACCACCAAGCCUUGUUCAGCCGCCCUAGCCUCUUAGUCUUUUACUGUCACUUAUUGUUGCAUUCCCAACAAAAAAAGAAGAAGGGCAGGACACAUAACUAUUUUUACAUAGUAGCCAACAAUGUGCUUUCUUAUCUUUCAUUUCAAUGACCACUAAGGAACUCAAAAUCAAUCUCUGAAUCACUCUCCCUGCUAGACAGGUUUCUCUUACCUGCAGGUGCUAAUUAUGGCAUUUCAAUUGUGCUCCCUUUUAUGGGUAACUGGGUAACCUGCUAAAAUGUCCUAUUAGUAACUACCAGUGAAUGAUAUUGAUAAUGGAUACUGUCUUCAAGUGUCAAUGUAACAACAUUGCCAUUUAUAGUGUUGAUAAGUACGGAAAUGAUAUAUCUUCGAUAUGUUCAAGAUAGAAGCAUAAUCUAGAAAAUAUUUUGUAUCACAGAUUGUGAAACUUUGGUUUCAGUUCAAAACAUGUUUAAUUGAGUAGCCGCUAGCCAACAUAAAGAGUAACAUCCAGGAUCACCAACUUUGGUGCUAUAAUCACUUCUUAGUUAAAAUAUCUGAAUUUGAGACCAGUCUCUGUUGCAUAUGUGGGAGAGGGAGUGUGUUGGGCUGUGAAAAUAACAUUGAAUAUGCACAAGUGAGUGAGUAGGGUUUUAAAAACAAUAUUGAAUAUACCUGUUCAUAGAUUGGAGACGACAUUUGGGUAAUAACUUGGUAUCAGGUGUUGCUAGCAUAAACUUGAGGACAUAUUGAAGGACAUUCUCAUUCGAGAAACUCACAUUGAUGGUUGAUGAAAAAUAUCCCAUGUGGUCUUAAGGUGCCAGUGCAAAUUCCAAAAUGUAGCAUCUGUGUGAUGCAUACAAUCUUUAAAACUCAGCAUCUUAGAAGGGAAAAAACCUUGAUUAUGGCCAUAGAUGUGCGACACUCAAACAAGUUAUGCUCUUUGAUGUUGUUUCAAAGGGGUCCGUCCUUAUAUCCAUGUGUGUUCCCCAUGAUAUAGUGGUUCCUAUUUGUAUGUUCUACUAUGCUUUAAGAAAAAGGGUGUAGAAAUGUGAUAUUUUCAUAUUUCCUUUGAGCUUCAUUAAAAGGCAAGGUGUUUGCCUAACUAACUUGUCUCAAUCUUAUAUUGAAGCUACAUCUUCUCUUUAAUUAAACGUCAAAUCUUUCUUCAGUUUUCAUACGCAUUAAUAAAUGGUGGCAUAUCUGGGCAAAUGCCCUACAAGUUCUGAUGUACAAAUGACACUCCCUGUGGUUCAGAUUCUUGAAAGACAUCAUCUCUAUGCAAAAGAUUUAAUGUCUGGAACCAUCAAUCCUUUAUGCCGAAGUAGGCUGGUACAUUAUGUAGUUUGUCAUGACAUAUAUUCCAUGAAUAAUAAUAGAAGUUUUGCUU